CACCCACCCUUAGUCGGUUAAAAUCUCCACCGUCAAGAACUGAACGGGUGGGAGCCACACCUCAUUGACGGGCCUAGAAUAAUCUCUACCCACAAAGCAAAAAGCCAAAGGUAUAUUUAUUCUUCUACCUCCAUGCUCUACGCUCUAGGCUCUAGCCAGUUCAGUUGGGUUCUCUCUCUCUCUCUUUCUCUCUCUCAUAGAAAUAGAAAGAAAAAGUGUAAUGGUAGUAGUAAUGGCCAGCUCUCUCACAGUGACCAAUACCUUAUCAUCCCCAAAACUCAAAACCCUUUACAAGAAGCUCUCUAUCCCAAUACCAACUCCUCUCUCUUCCCGCCUUCUCUACAAUCCCAAAACCCUAUCUUCUCUCUCUCUUUCUCUUAACCUCAAACACCGUAGCUUCGCCGCUCGCGCCGACUCUCAAAACGGGGCCGAGCCACCCAGCCACUACGACUUCGACCUCUUCACCAUCGGUGCUGGCAGCGGUGGUGUCCGCGCCUCCCGCUUCGCCGCCAAUUUUGGGGCCUCAGUCGCCGUCUGUGAGCUUCCCUUCUCCCCCAUUUCUUCCGAAACCACCGGUGGAGUUGGCGGCACGUGCGUACUUCGUGGAUGUGUACCAAAGAAACUAAUGGUGUAUGCUUCACAUUAUUCUCAUGAAUUUGAAGAGAGUCGUGGUUUUGGAUGGAAAUAUGAUGUCGAACCCAAGCAUGAUUGGAGCACCUUGAUGGCUAAUAAAAAUGCAGAGUUGCAGCGUCUUACUGGUAUCUACAAGAACGUUCUGAAGAAUGCUGGUGUUACUUUAAUUGAAGGUCGUGGAAAGAUUGUGGACCCACACACAAUUGACGUGGAUGGGAAGUUAUAUUCAGCAAGGCACAUACUAAUUUCAGUAGGUGGCCGCCCCUUCAUUCCUGAAAUCCCUGGAAGUGAAUAUGUAAUAGAUUCAGAUGCUGCGCUUGACUUGCCCUCAAAGCCUGAGAAAAUAGCAAUAGUUGGUGGUGGGUACAUAGCGUUGGAAUUUGCUGGCAUAUUCAAUGGUCUGACAACUGAAGUUCAUGUAUUUAUACGGCAGAAGAAAGUUUUAAGGGGUUUUGAUGAAGAGAUCAGAGAUUUUGUUGCAGAACAAAUGUCUCUAAGAGGAAUUGAAUUCCAUACAGAGGAGUCGCCCCAAGCUAUCAUAAAAUCAUCUGACGGUUCAUUGUCUUUGAAGACCAACAAAGGAACUGCUGAAGGUUUUUCACAUGUUAUGUUUGCGACAGGACGUAGACCUAAUACAAAGAACUUAGGAUUGGAAACAGUAGGGGUGAAAAUGACCAAGAAUGGAGCAAUAGAGGUUGAUGAAUACUCCCGUACAUCAGUCCCUUCUAUUUGGGCAGUUGGAGAUGUUACUGAUAGAGUGAAUCUGACUCCGGUAGCUUUGAUGGAGGGAGGGGCAUUAGCAAAAACUCUGUUCCAAAAUGAGCCAACAAAACCUGAUUAUAGAGCUAUCCCGUCUGCUGUGUUCUCCCAGCCACCGAUUGGACAAGUUGGACUUACUGAAGAACAGGCUAUACAAGAAUAUGGUGAUGUUGAUAUCUUCAUGGCAAAUUUUAGGCCCUUAAAGGCUACUCUGUCAGGGCUCCCAGACAGGGUCUUGAUGAAACUUGUAGUCUGUGCAAAAACAAACAAAGUUCUGGGAUUGCACAUGUGUGGAGAAGAUUCACCUGAAAUUGUCCAGGGAUUUGCAGUUGCUGUGAAAGCUGGCUUGACCAAGGCAGACUUUGAUGCUACAGUGGGUAUUCACCCAACCGCAGGUGAGGAGUUUGUCACAAUGAGGACUCCUACUAGGAAAAUCCGGCAGACAGCUGAGGGAAAGACUGAUUCUGAGGUCAAAGCUACUGCAGGGGUUUAGCAAUGGUCUGGAUCAAUCUGCUGCAUAUCAUAGCUGGUUCUUAUAACAGAUGUAUCAUUCUGCUGACUUCCUUAGACGGAAUGUUGUAUAUGCCUAAACAAAAGCUUCUCAUACAGUUGUCAUCUGGGCUACUGCAAGUGAACAUCCUAAUGUGGAAUAGUAAAGGGAUAGUUGGAAAAUUUUAGAAGCCGACUUGGACAAGUGAUUGGGCUUCUCAAGAUAGCAUCAAUAGUUCUAAUUUUCACACCGGACUGUCGACAUACUUAAGCAGAAGAGAAAGGUCUUUGAUAGCAAUGGUUCUGUAAUUUUGCUUUACAGGAGUCAUAACAUACCCUUCCUUUACGUUUAGGAAAUACAUGUUUCUUCCUUUAAUUUUCUCUUUUUGGUUUCAGGCCCACCUUUUUGAACACUUGUAACAGAAAACAUGUUGGUUGAAGAUGUUUUAAUUUUGAAAGUUAUGAUUUUACGCAUU